rnacentral:lncRNA from 1 species
CUAGCAUGCUCUUCCUCAGCUCAUGGACCCGUGAAGACCAUUGCCACCUGCUUGCUGAAGCAGAGCUGGGUGCGCACAUCUGAAAGCAUCCAUCAAGGAAAAAUCCAGUGGCCUCCCUGUUUCCAUGUGACAGUGAAAGACAGUGACAUAGAGGCGCAGAAUGACCGUCCCAUCAUCAGAGAAGACAUUGUGAUGAAAGAUGAAGUUGGUAGGACUUCUGAGCCUGGCAUUGUCUCAUCUGCCAAUCAUUCAUCAGAAUCAUCUGAUUCACCAAUGAUUCAUCAGAAUCAUCUGCCAGCCUUUGGGCACUCUUCGUGUGAGUGCUGCAUGUAUCAAACUCUAAGUGGGUUCUUCUUUAAUAAAAUCCAACAUGCAGAAAUCUAAAUGGACCACAAAGACAGAUUAGAGUAUGUCCAUUCACCUUACAAA